rnacentral:pre_miRNA from 1 species
GAGACACCCCUCCGGGGCAAGACUUGCUUCAAUGGGGCUUUGGUGCUCAAUGAGUCUGCCCCCUGAGUGUGUCCUU